AGAAAACAAUAAGAAUAUUAUAUAUAUCGGACUGUUGUACUCUCAGUGAGACAAAGUUCGUACGUGUAAAGAAUGUCCUUCUCCUUGUAAGAGGAAUUCUCAUUUAUAUAAGGUUCUAUAUCUCGCAGUCAAGAGAAUAUUAUAAAUGCCAAAGUGUUGCAUCUCCGAGUGAGUCAAAUUUCGUACUUUUAGAGGAUGGCCAUAUGAGAGAGAUUCCUUUUAUAAGUCAAUAUUGAUAUCCCACUAUCGAGAGAUAAAUUACAGGUAUCACAGGUAAGUAUCUUAUAAUAUUUAUUUUCAGGUAAUUAAAUAAUGGAGGGAAAUAAUUGAAGUGGAAGCAAAUCUCUAAAUGUAGAAAUUAGAGGCAAGGAGGAGACAAUGGAAGUAGACAAAUGGAGAAAGCAAUAAGAAUAUCGUAUAUAUCGAACUGUUGUGCUCCCAGUGAGACAAAGUUUCCUAUUUAGAGAAUGCCCUUCUCCUCGUGAAAGGGAUUCCUAUUAUAUGAGGUUAGAAAUCUGGCUAUCAAAUAAUAUUAUAAAUAUCGAACUGUUGUUUUCCCAGUGACGCAAAGUUUCCUAUUUAUAGAGAAUGCCCUUCUCCUCGUGAGGGGGAUUCCUAUUGUAUGAGGUUCUAAAUCUCUCUAUCAAGAGAAUAUUAUAAAUACCGAAGUUGUGCCGAAGUGUUGUAUCACCCAGGGAGUCAAAUUUCUCAUUUUUCGAGAAUGGCCGUCUCCGUGUGAGGGAUUCCUUUUAUAAGUCAUUGUUGAUAUCCCCUAUCGAGAUAUUAAUUACACGUAUUACCGGUGAGUAUCUUAUAAUACUUAUUUUUAGGAAAUUAAAUAAUGAAUGGAAAUAAUUAAAGUAAAAGCAAAUUUCGAAAUAUGGAAAUUAGAGGCAAGGAGGAAACAAUGGAAUUAGACAAAAAGAAAAAAUGAGAAUAACAUAUAUAUAUCGAACUGUUGUCCUCUCCGUGAGACAAAGUUUCGUACUUACAGAGAAUGCCCUUCUCUUCGUGAGAGGGAUUCCUAUUAUAUGAGAUUCUAGAUCUCGCAAUCAACAGAGUACUAUAAAUGCCGAAGUGUUUUAUCUCCCAGCAAUGAAAUAAGACGAAUAUUGGAUGGAAAUAAAUAGAAGUACAUCCCGAAAUGUGGGGAUUAGAGGAAAGGAGAAAACAAAGGGAUGAGGAAUAUUGUAUAAACACGGACUGUUCUUCUCCCAGUGUUCUUUUCAUAGCGAGACAAAGGUUAGUACUUUUAGAUAAUCCUCUACUCCGUGUGAGAGGGAUUCCUUUUUUAAGAUAUUCCAGAGCUCGCUAUCGAGAUAAUAUUAUAAUAACCGAAGUGUUGUUGUCUCAAUGAUACAAAAUUUUUUAAUUUUAGUGAAUGCCCUUCUCCGUGUGAAAGGGAUUCCUUUAUAAAUGACGUUCUCGGUCUCGUUAUCGUAGAAGUAGAUUUCACAAAAGAAUUUCAAGUGAUAAAUCUAAAAAUUUUAGACCCUCAAAAAAAAAA